AUGCGCUGCGUAGGCAGGCGUGGGGCGAACCGGCAGCCCCGAAACGAGGAGGGACGGGCAGAGAGGGCUCGCGCCCCGGCGAGCCCGAAGCACGCAGCGGCAWCGGGGAAGCGCUCGCGACGCAGGGGAGCAGCAAGGCUGAGAGGCUGGCGCUCCGCUUGCCACGGCCACCCCCAGACGGACGGACGGACGGACGGAGGGGCGGAUGGAGGGAGCCGAAGCUCGAGUCGGCGGCGGGGCACGGCGCGCUGCCGGCGGCGCUCCCCAGGUGCAGCCGGGAGAGGGAGAAGGGAGAAGGGAGAAAGGAGGGGGGGGACCCRGCUACCUCUCCGCAGCAAAGCUGGCCGGCUUCUUCCUCCCCGGGUAAACCCUGCCCUGGCCGCCUGGGAGGAACAGGGACACACAGGCAGCCUGGAAGAGCAGCUCGACCAACAUGACAGGCGGCGGCUGCAGCCCGCGGCACGCUCCCAGCGCCUGCCUUCCCGCCUGCCUUCCUCCUGCCUUGGCGGCACGGGCGCCUACCGCACGCUGGCCCUUGGCCCUGCUCCUCCUCCUCCUCCUCCUGCCUGCCGGGGCCGGGAAGCCGGGAACAAUGCGGGGGGUGGAGGGAGGCGAGAGCAGCGAAGGGGGCUGCGGAGCGCCGCCGCCGCCGCCGGGACCCGACUCUCCACCCACCCCGGCGCGCGUCCCCCCGCGCCCGGCGGGACCAGAGGAGCCCGGCGGCGCGGGCGAGAGCGGGCAACGGCGCGCAACGCCGCACGCGGGGGCUCGCGGAGAUGCUCGCGCAAAGGCGCGCUUGCCUGCGAGCGCAGCCACGCGCGGGGCAUCCCGGGUCGGCGCGGACGAGCCUCCGCUGACCCUCGCCGCCAGCGCCGUACGCCACAACGCGCGCGUGUCGGGUGGGUCCGUCCGCCCGCAGCGGCGCGGGGAGAGGAAGGAUUCCCCGGGACAGCAGCCCUGUUGUUCGCAAGGGUUUGCGGGGGAAAGCGGCAAAAACAUCCCCCUUCUCUCCUUUCCCACAUCUGGCAAAGCUCCGGCCUGGCCUCUCCCAACCCCUCCUCCUCCUCCUCCUCCUCCUCCUGGCGGCACUGGGCCGCUUUCCCAGCCCUGCACAGGGACCCACCAAAGCGGAGCGUGCAGCAGAGAAAGGGGCCAAAGUGGAGCCGGGCCGGUGGGGAAGGGCACAGCGAGGCUCCGGUGCACCCCGGUACGUCGCCGCCGCACCGGGGGCGAUGCCGGCAGCGAGAGGGGCACGGAGCUCCRCGCCGCACCGCGGAGGCUCAGGGUGCUACGGGGGCACCCGGAGCACGGCAGCGCCCUGCUCCGAGGCGCAGGAGCCCACCUCUCUGCCCCUCGCCUCUCUGCCCUUCCCGGGCCAGGGGCUGA
rnacentral:lncRNA from 1 species